UAGGGAAUCUUCGGCAAUGGACGGAAGUCUGACCGAGCAACGCCGCGUGAGUGAAGAAGGUUUUCGGAUCGUAAAGCUCUGUUGUAAGAGAAGAACGAGUGUGAGAGUGGAAAGUUCACACUGUGACGGUAUCUUACCAGAAAGGGACGGCUAACUACGUGCCAGCAGCCGCGGUAAUACGUAGGUCCCGAGCGUUGUCCGGAUUUAUUGGGCGUAAAGCGAGCGCAGGCGGUUAGAUAAGUCUGAAGUUAAAGGCUGUGGCUUAACCAUAGUACGCUUUGGAAACUGUUUAACUUGAGUGCAAGAGGGGAGAGUGGAAUUCCAUGUGUAGCGGUGAAAUGCGUAGAUAUAUGGAGGAACACCGGUGGCGAAAGCGGCUCUCUGGCUUGUAACUGACGCUGAGGCUCGAAAGCGUGGGGAGCAAACAGGAUUAGAUACCCUGGUAGUCCACGCCGUAAACGAUGAGUGCUAGGUGUUAGACCCUUUCCGGGGUUUAGUGCCGCAGCUAACGCAUUAAGCACUCCGCCUGGGGAGUACGACNCGCAAGGUUG
rnacentral:rRNA from 1 species